CUGGCGAGUACGAGCAUAUGGAGGAAUAGUUGACUGCCGCCUGUUAUUAGUACCCUGAGUAUGUCGACGUUGGACGACAUGUUGCUUAGCUGCACUGUAUUGCCAUCCUUUUCCGUUAUUUAGGAGAGUCCAAUCAUACUUUCCGUCAUCAGUUUCAUUGAUGCGAAGCAGUAAACUGUCGAACAGACUUCGUAGGUAGUCAUAAUCUGGAGCUUCUUCGUAACCCAAAUUCCGAGCAUAAAUCAUGUACUGUAAAAAUUCCUUUGGAUAUCCUUCGCAUAGCUCUUUCAAAGGAGUGACUUGUUUCUUUUCACCAAUUUUUUCGUAUUUUUGCUUAUUUGUAGCAGCUUUCAACCCUUGCCAGGGAAGACUACCUCGAAGGAAAUACAUGAAAACGUGUCCCAUGGAUUCUAAAUCAUCUCUUCGUGAUUGCUCACGACCAAGAUGUGUGUUGAUAGACAUAUAACGUGCAGUACCAGAUAGACUCUUAUGUUCAUUAUACGGUCUAUGAACAUGAGUUUUUGGAUCUCGAUAUUGCUUAGCCAUGCCAAAAUCGACGGCAUAGAUAACGUUUUCGGUUUUGCUUCCAGGGAACCCGAUUAAAAAAUUAUCUGGUUUAAUGUCACGAUAAAUAAAAUGUCUCUCAUGAACAGAUUGAAUACGGGUGAUCUGAUUAACCCUGUUAAAAUGUAAUCACAUAAAGCCAAUCCGACAACAAUCGGAUAGACGUUUACAAACUUACCAUUUGUUUUGCAAUCAUGGCAACGGUUUUAGGACUAAAACGUCUGCCACAAUAAUCAAAAAGGUCCUCUAAACUAGGUCCUAGAAGAUCCAUGACCAAAAGGUUGUACAUGCCUUCUUGACCGUAAUAAUACACGCUCGGAAUUCCAGCUAGGGAUAAAUGUUAGGAAAUUGACGAAAAUCAGUAUAGCAACCAUAGUGAAUACUUACGCAAACCCAUUAGUAGCUUAUAAGUAAGGUAUUCAUCACGAAGUUGAGGAACCUCGCUUUUUCUGGACUCCUGUGAGAAUGCAACGUUAGUACUGAAAUUGAGAAUCUGGAUUGCUCUCUAAAAAUA